rnacentral:rRNA from 1 species
UCGAGCGAGACCUUCAGGUUCUAGCGGCGGACGGGUGAGUAACGCGUGGGAACGUGCCCUUCUCUACGGAAUAGUCCCGGGAAACUGGGUUUAAUACCGUAUACGCCCUUCGGGGGAAAGAUUUAUCGGAGAAGGAUCGGCCCGCGUUGGAUUAGGUAGUUGGUGGGGUAAUGGCCUACCAAGCCGACGAUCCAUAGCUGGUUUGAGAGGAUGAUCAGCCACACUGGGACUGAGACACGGCCCAGACUCCUACGGGAGGCAGCAGUGGGGAAUCUUAGACAAUGGGGGAAACCCUGAUCUAGCCAUGCCGCGUGAGUGAUGAAGCCCUAGGGUCGUAAAGCUCUUUCGCCAGGGAUGAUAAUGACAGUACCUGGUAAAGAAACCCCGGCUAACUCCGUGCCAGCAGCCGCGGUAAUACGGAGGGGGUUAGCGUUGUUCGGAAUUACUGGGCGUAAAGCGCGCGUAGGCGGAUUAGAAAGUUGGGGGUGAAAUCCCGGGGCU